rnacentral:lncRNA from 1 species
CCAGCAUAGAGGGUAAGAGUAUACCCUUGGGGUCAGACUCCCUGGUUUCAACUCCUGGGUAACUUAGAAAGUGUUACCUAAAUUUUCAACGUGUUGGUAGACUUUUUCCAUCUGUAAAAUAGGAAGCAUAAGACAGGCUCCAUUCAUGUGAAGGCAGCAUAGCCAUUGGUUUCUUCAGGUCCACAUGGUCCUUGGAAUUCAAGACCCCUGAGUAAAUGAGAAGACUUCAAUUGGCCUGGUGUGAACUGAGUGCUCAUCCUUGAGGCCAGUCACCGUGGAAUGGAAUGAGGAGCACCACAGAAGGGAAAGGAAUAUUUUCUAAAGGAAGGGAUUCUGGUCAAACAAUGACUUGCCACCUGUAUCCCUCUCUAAACGUUUCUCUUUUCCAGCUGCACCUUAACUAGUUUCAGUUUCAGGGGAUGCCAUGCUCACUCUGCUGUCUUAUUUUUGCACAUCUUGCUGCAGUGGCCCAAAAUUCCCCUAGUCUUUACUUGGCUAAUACCCACUCAUUCUUCAAGAUCUAGCUCAUGAUACUUCUAUGGGAUGCCUUUCCUGACCUUCCUAAUCUGGGCUGGGUAUUCACUUAUGUGAUCUCAUAAGCACGUCACAGAUACUUUUGACAUUACACAACACCAUUGCCACUGUUUGCAUGAAUACUUGUCUCUCUUACUAAACUAGCUUUUUGAGUUUUGUGAUUGCACAAUGCUUAGCACAUAGUAAUCACUCCACAAAUGUUUGCUGAAUGACUGAAAGAUAAUCUUAGUGUUGGUAAGAUCCUGUUUUGCUUCUCCCAUUUAAAAGAUGCUUCAGGCUGGACAUGGCAGGUCACAUCUGUAAUCCACAACUUUGGGAGGCCAAGGCAAGAGGAUCAUUUGAGCCCAGGAGUUCAAAGCCGACAUGGACAACGUAGGGAGACCCCAUCUUUAUGAAAAUUAUAAAAUUAGCUGGGUGUGGUAGCAUGCAAUUGUAGUCCCAGCUACUUGGGAGGCUGAGGUGGGAGGAUCACUUGAGCCCAGGAGGUCAAGGCUGCAGUGAGCCGUGAUUGUACCACUGUACUCCAGCCUGAGUGACAGAGCAAGGAGACCCCCAUCUCAAAAUAAAUAAAUACAUAAAAUAAAUAGAAGUUGCU